rnacentral:pre_miRNA from 1 species
CAUGUACUCCCUCCGUCCCAAAUUAUUUGUCGCAGAAAUGGAUGUAUCUAGAACUAAAAUACAUCUAGAUACAUCCAUACUUGUGACAAGUAAUUUGGGACGGAGGGAGUAGUAU